rnacentral:rRNA from 1 species
CGGAGGGUGCGAGCGUUGUCCGGAAUCAUUGGGCGUAAAGGGCGCGUAGGUGGCCCGGUAAGCGUGCGGUGAAAGCUUGGGGCUCAACCCCGAGUCGGCCGUGCGAACUGCUGGGCUUGAGCACUGUAGAGGCAGGCGGAAUUCCGGGUGUAGCGGUGGAAUGCGUAGAGAUCCGGAAGAACACCGGUGGCGAAGGCGGCCUGCUGGGCAGUAGCUGGCACUGAGGCGCGACAGCGUGGGGAGCAAACAGGAUUAGAUACCCUGGUAGUCCACGCCGUAAACGAUGGGCACUAGGCGCUUGGGGGAGCGACCCCCGAGGGCCGGCGCUAACGCAUUAAGUGCCCCGCCUGGGGAGUACGGCCGCAAGGCUG